UACGUAGGGUGCAGGCGUUAAUCGGAAUUACUGGGCGUAAAGCGUGCGCAGGCGGUUUGCUAAGACAGGUGUGAAAUCCCCGGGCUUAACCUGGGAACUGCGCUUGUAACUGGCAAGCUUGAGUGUGGCCGAGGGGGGUGGAAUUCCACGUGUAGCAGUGAAAUGCGUAGAGAUGUGGAGGAACACCGAUGGCGAAGGCAGCCCCCUGGGCUAACACUGACGCUCAUGCACGAAAGCGUGGGGAGCAAACAGG
rnacentral:rRNA from 1 species